CCGUAGCUCAGUUGGUCAGAGCAGCGGACUCAUAAUCCGACGGUCCCAGGUUCAAGUCCUGGCGGG
rnacentral:tRNA from 1 species